UAAUACAGAGGGUGCAAGCGUUAAUCGGAAUUACUGGGCGUAAAGGGUGCGUAGGUGGUUGUGUAAGUUAGAUGUGAAAUUCCAGGGCUUAACCUUGGGACUGCGUUUAAAACUGCACGGCUAGAGUACUGUAGAGGGAAGUGGAAUUUCCGGUGUAGCGGUGAAAUGCGUAGAUAUCGGAAGGAACAUCAGUGGCGAAGGCGACUUUCUGGACAGAUACUGACACUGAGGCACGAAAGCAUGGGGAGCAAACAGGAUUAGAUACCCUGGUAGUCCAUGCUGUAAACGAUGAGAACUGGCUGUUGGGUGCCGAGAGCACUUGGUAGCGAAGCUAACGCGAUAAGUUCUCCGCCUGGGGAGUACGGCCGCAAGGUUA
rnacentral:rRNA from 1 species